GCCCGAGGAGGCAAUCGUUAUCCGGAAUUAUUGGGCGUAAAGCGUCCGUAGGUGGUUUGGCAAGUCUGGGGUUAAAGCCCGGAGCCUAACUCCGGAUCGGCCCUGGAAACUGCCAGACUAGAGUAAGGUAGGGGUUGCGGGAAUUCCCGGUGUAGCGGUGAAAUGCGUAGAUAUCGGGAAGAACACCAGUGGCGAAAGCGCGCAACUGGGCCAUUACUGACACUGAGGGACGAAAGCUAGGGGAGAGAAUGGG
rnacentral:rRNA from 1 species